rnacentral:rRNA from 1 species
CCAAUAGCGUAUAUUAAAGUUGUUGUGGUUAAAAAGCUCGUAGUUGAACCUUGGGCCUGGCUGGCCGGUCCGCCUCACCGCGUGUACUGGUCCGGCCGGGCCUUUCCCUCUGUGGAACCUCAUGCCCUUCACUGGGCGUGACGGGGAAACAGGACUUUUACUGUGAAAAAAUUAGAGUGCUCCAGGCAGGCCUAUGCUCGAAUACAUUAGCAUGGAAUAAUGAAAUAGGACGUUCGGUUCUAUUCUGUUGGUUUCUAGGACCGCCGUAAUGAUUAAUAGGGACAGUCGGGGGCAUCAGUAGUCAAUUGUCAGAGAUGAAAUUCUUGGAUUUAUUGAAGACUAACUACUGCGAAAGCAUUUGCCAAGGAUGUUUUCAUUAAUCAGGAACGAAAGUUAGGGGAUCGAAGACGAUCAGAUACCGUCGUAGUCUUAACCAUAAACUAUGCCGACUAGGGAUCGGACGAUGUAAAUAAUUGACUCGUUCGGCACCUUACG